GUGAUUUGAUUGACAUUAAAUACGCUGACACACCUGCUGAUGUGAUAAGACAUCAUGUAUCUAAAAAACUAUUAUUGGUCUAUCGAAAUCGAAAGAUAUACUAUCCCUUAUCGAUCACCAUUAUCUUUGCCAUGUCCUAGUUAAAAACACAAUAAUAGUAUCCUUUUUUAAUAACCUUAGGGAACGUUCAACACUGUUCACUUGAGACCAGGCGGUGAAAUCAAACGUAAAGAUGGCGGUAUAUUUCAUUGGUGUCGACGUUGGGACAGCAAGUGUGAGAGCUGGAAUUUUUGAUCAAACCGGCCGAUUGCUGCAAAAUGCGACCCACGAGAUAAAGAUUUGGAAUCCAAAAGGAACGAAAGGCGAUUUUUAUCAACAGUCAUCUGAUGAUAUUUGGGAAUCUUGCUGCAAAGUCAUUAAAGAAGUGGUUGAGGGCAUUGAUGCAGAUUCUGUUGCAGGAAUUGGGUUUGAUGCUACAUGUUCGCUGGUGGCUCUUGACAAUGAAGAUAAGCCAAUAACGGUUAGCCCAACAGGGGAACACGAGCAAAAUGUUAUCAUGUGGAUGGACCACAGAGCAGUCCAGGAGACUGAAGUCAUCAAUGCUUUGAAUCAUUCUGCCUUUCAAUAUGUCGGAGGAAAAGUUUCCAUUGAGAUGCAGCUUCCAAAACUUCUUUGGCUUAAAAGAAAUCUCUGUGAAACUUGGUAUCAGACUAAGAAAUUCAUGGACCUGCCAGACUUUCUGACAUGGAAGGCCACUAAUAGUGAUGCUAGAUCCCUUUGCAGUGUGGUAUGCAAAUGGAACUACAUAGUUGAUGAAUCUGGGUGUCACGGUUGGCCCAGUGACUUGUUUGAGCUAGUUGGACUACAAGAACUUUUAGAAAACAAUGCAAGUCUCAUUGGAAGCAACAUCAAAUUCCCUGGCUCUCCACAAGGCUCAGGUCUGACAUUUUCUGUUGCCCAUGAGUUGGGAUUAAAACCAGGCACUCCGGUCGGCACUUCCCUGAUUGAUGCAUAUGCAGGAGCCCUUGGAUUAUUUGCUUGUCAUGCCGAUGCUCCAGUGGAUCAGAGACUAGCACUCAUUUGCGGUACUUCAACGUGCCAUAUGCUGAGCGUAUCUCAACCGACAUUUGUCAAUGGAGUGUGGGGUCCAUACGCCGAUGUCUUACUGCCGGGAAUGUGGUUGUUGGAAGGCGGGCAAAGCGCUACUGGGAAAUUAUUGGACCAUAUCGUCGAGACGCAUCCGUGUUAUACGUCGUUAAAAGAGCGAUUGCCGUCAACGAUUUCCAUUGCCGAAGAACUUUCUCGAAUCCUCCAUACCAUGUCACGCCCGACUGGACGACCCGUUUCCAAUUUGACUAAAGAUGUCCAUGUGUGGCCGGAUUUUCAUGGCAAUCGCUCUCCUUUAGCGGACCCUAAUGUUAAAGGCAUGAUUUGCGGUAUGACUUUGGACGCGUCAGAAGAGAACCUAGCGUUGCAUUACCUGGCCACCAUUCAGGCUUUAUGCUAUGGGACUCGUCAUAUAAUCGAAUCUAUGAGAGAACGCGACGUGGAAAUUGGGUGUUUGUUGCUUUGCGGUGGAUUGACCAAAAUCGACUUGUUCGCUGUCACUAUGGCCGACGCCGUUGGUCUGCCCGUUGUUCUCCCCAACAAGAAAGAGUCUGUUCUUCUCGGUUCAGCGAUGCUGGGAGCCUGCGCUUCAACGCAUUUCUCCUCUCUCAACGAAGCAAUGAUCAAAAUGGGUGGUCAUGGAAAAACAAUUCAACCGAACCAACAAGACAGAAAGUUCCACGAUCGCAAGUACAGAGUGUUUAUGAAAAUGCUGCAGGACCAAAAAGAUUAUGAAAAGAUCAUGAACUCCAACUAAAUUGCAAUCAUGAUUCCGUUAUCGGUGCAUAGCUUCGGCGGUGGGCAAACAAGGGUGUAGCCCAUUUCGGCGCAGAUAAUGCUCAGGUAUUUGCGGAAGUAGUCGUUGCAUGCCACGCCUCCGGAUACAACCUAGGUUAACCAAUCGUUUUUGUAUCCCAUCAUCAGGAUGUUGGGCUUCACUUUACCAACGCCAGAAAGGCCCAGCAUGGCCGCCACGCCCGUGUGGAGAUUUGAAUUAUCCGCAACGGAACAGAAUCCUUUGAUGUUGGUGAAUCGCAGUGUCUUACCUGGUUUUCGAUAGAGGACCACCAUGUAGAAAAACGAGACAAUGCCAAUUGUUAUCAUGGCUAUAGGAAGACUGAUGAGGAUCAUGGAGGCGACGGACAA